GGCCGACUAGCUCAGUUGGUUAGAGCGUCGUGCUAAUAUGUGGAUCAUGUUAACGCGAAGGUCUUGGGUUCGAUCCCCACGUUGGCCA
rfam:Moniliophthora roreri strain MCA 2952 kmer90.96829, whole genome shotgun sequence.